rnacentral:lncRNA from 1 species
AGGACAGUCCCCUUCUGAGUGCGCCCAGACAUCUGGAAUAUUCUAAAAACAGAGGAGAACACGCACCCUGGUCCUGAGGGAGUAUGGGAGAGGGGGAGCUGCUUCCUGCUGGCGGGGCAGAGCUGAGGCCACUCCCUGUCACCCACGCUUGGGCGGUCAGCAGUCUCUGGGCUUGGGACUCAGUGUUUUCCUGCUAAUUUAUGGGGCAACACUUUCCUCUAGGAAAUGGGGCAGAGAGCCAGAGAUCCUCUCUUUUAUUGUUCCUUUCCCUUCAAGGGGGAUGGAGCUUUCUCAGGAAGGAGUCAAAUGCUCGUUUCCCGUUUAUUCUGCAAGUGUCAGAUGCAGCUUGGGGACAACUGAGAGGUGAUGGAGUCCCGGGGGACGUCCCCAAGGAUGACGGGCGAAGCCGUGAGUGGGUGGCUUUAAAGAUUGCCCUGUUUCAAACUCAGGCAGAGGGCCCAGGGCUCAGGUGGGCAAGGCCAGGGGCUGUCUGGGCAGUCAGGGGUGUGGGGACCACGAAGACCACCGCCUGAGGUGCUGACCCGGCCCAGGGCAAGCUGAGCAGCCCCAUGGUGUCUCGUGGUUGGUGAGAAAUGCAGAGACACCAAGUGGGGGUGGGGAGGCUCCGUGGGCGUGGCCACCCCCAGGACCUGAGCCAAGAACCCCCAC